AUGGUACAGAAGAAGAACUUCCAUCCCAAAAAGUUCAAAAACAACAAGAACAAAACUCAGGGCAAAGGUAAGUUUGAUACAAAGAACAAGCCAGCACAUUCUACCAACUUCAAGAAGAAUUCUCAUAAGAAGGGGAAGGGACUUUGCCAUGUUUGCGGUGAUCCUAAUCACUGGGCUCCGAAGUGUCCUAACCGUUUUGAGGAGCGCGAACAUGACAAGAGCGGCAAGUCCGCUAAUGUUGUUAUCGGUGAUACUGAUAUGAAGGAAUCAGGAUACGAUAUUUUUCCUACCAUCCUUUCAGUAUUUCGAUCCCCUGAUUGGUUAAUUGACACCGGUGCCAAUGUACAUGUUUGUGCUGACGCCUCCAAGUUUUCUUCUUACCAGGCCACUGGGACUUCUCCCAUGCUGAUGGGGAACGGGUCACAUGCCAUCGUUCGAGGUGUUGGUACGGUCGAUCUGAAGUUUACUUCGGGGAAGACCGUGCGUCUGAAGAACGUUCAUCAUGUGCCGUCCAUCAAUAAAAAUCUCGUUAGCGGUUCCCAUUGA
rnacentral:rRNA from 1 species